ensembl:lncRNA novel transcript
GGAAGUGACGUCCACCAAGUCCAGCUGCAGAUGAUCCCAUCCUGCCUGCACAGCUUCUCCAGGGGAGAUAGACACACAGAAGCCCACGAGAGUCAAAUAAGAGCCAUACCUUCCAGGCGAGUCACAAACAAUUCUGCCUUCUGACAGUCAUAGUCCAGGCAGUAGUGGAGUUUGGGGGCCUGGUUCCAACUGGCAGCCUUCUCUGGGUUCCAGGUCUCCAUGACACAGACAUCCUCCACCACACCUGUUAAGAAAGUCGAAAUCGUCACUGCCACCCACACUGGGGUUCUGCUUUCCUGAUUACACCUUUCUCAUCUCUAUCACCUAUGCCAGGAACCCAAACCCAAGUCUUCCCAGCUGUGUGCAGAAUCACAGUGGCCACACCAAGACAACAGGUGGGGUCAAUGUCACAGCCCAUUAGGC